UCAUACGGAUUGAUAAUCCGUAUGAAUCAUACGGAUCGGUGAUCCAUAUGGAUCAUACGGAUCAUCAAUCCGUAUGAAUUUUU
rnacentral:pre_miRNA from 1 species